UACAGAGGGUGCAAGCGUUGUUCGGAAUUAUUGGGCGUAAAGCGCGUGUAGGCGGCUUGGCAAGUCAGAUGUGAAAGCCCUCGGCUUAACCGAGGAAGUGCGUCUGAAACUGCUGAGCUUGAGUGUCGGAGAGGAUGGCGGAAUUCCGCAAGUAGAGGUGAAAUUCGUAGAUAUGCGGAGGAACACCGGUGGCGAAGGCGGCCAUCUGGACGACUACUGACGCUGAG
rnacentral:rRNA from 1 species